rnacentral:rRNA from 1 species
CCUACGGGCGGCAGCAGUGGGGAAUAUUGCACAAUGGGGGAAACCCUGAUGCAGCGACGCCGCGUGAGUGAAGAAGUAAUUCGUUAUGUAAAGCUCCAUCAGCAGGGAAGUAAAUGACGGUACCUGUGUAAGAAGCCCCGGCUAACUCCGUGCCAGCAGCCGCGGGAAUACGUAGGGGGCCAGCGUUAUCCGGAUUUACUGGGUGUAAAGGGGGCGUAGACGGCAGUGCAAGUCUGGAGUGAAAGGCGGGGGCUCAACCCCCGGACUGCACUGGAAACUGUACGGCUGGAGUGCAGGAGAGGUAAGUGGAAUUCCUAGUGUAGCGGUGAAAUGCGUAGAUAUUAGGAGGAACACCAGUGGCGAAGGCGGCUUACUGGACUGUAACUGACGUUGAGGCUCGAAAGCGUGGGGAGCAAACAGGAUUAGAUACCCUAGUAGUC